AUUGAACGCUGGCGGCAUGCUUUACACAUGCAAGUCGAACGGCAGCACAGGGAGCUUGCUCCCGGGUGGCGAGUGGCGCACGGGUGAGUAAUACAUCGGAACGUGUCCUGUUGUGGGGGAUAACUGCUCGAAAGGGUGGCUAAUACCGCAUGAGACCUGAGGGUGAAAGCGGGGGAUCGCAAGACCUCGCGCAAUUGGAGCGGCCGAUGCCCGAUUAGCUAGUAGGUGGGGUAACGGCUCACCUAGGCGACGAUCCCUAGCUGGGUCUGAGAGGAUGACCAGCCACACUGGAACUGAGACACGGUCCAGACUCCUACGGGAGGCAGCAGUGGGGAAUAUUGCACAAUGGGCGCAAGCCUGAUGCAGCCAUGCCGCGUGUAUGAAGAAGGCCUUCGGUUGUAAAGUACUUUCAGCGGGGAGGAAGGGAGUAAAGUUAAUACCUUUGCUCAUUGACGUUACCCGCAGAAGAAGCACCGGCUAACUCCGUG
rnacentral:rRNA from 1 species